AAUGAACGCUGGCGGCAUGUCUAACACAUGCAAGUCGAACGAGACCUUCGGGUCUAGUGGCGCACGGGUGCGUAACGCGUGGGAAUCUGCCCCUUGGUUCGGAAUAACAGUUGGAAACGACUGCUAAUACCGGAUGAUGACGUAAGUCCAAAGAUUUAUCGCCGAGGGAUGAGCCCGCGUAGGAUUAGGUAGUUGGUGUGGUAAAGGCGCACCAAGCCGACGAUCCUUAGCUGGUCUGAGAGGAUGAUCAGCCACACUGGGACUGAGACACGGCCCAGACUCCUACGGGAGGCAGCAGUGGGGAAUAUUGGACAAUGGGCGAAAGCCUGAUCCAGCAAUGCCGCGUGAGUGAUGAAGGCCUUAGGGUUGUAAAGCUCUUUUACCCGGGAUGAUAAUGACAGUACCGGGAGAAUAAGCUCCGGCUAACUCCGUGC
rnacentral:rRNA from 1 species